rnacentral:rRNA from 1 species
AAUCAACGCUGGCGGCGCGCUUAACACAUGCAAGUCGAACGAGAAAGGGGAGCAAUCCCCGAGUAAAGUGGCGUACGGGUGAGUAACACGUGGGUCAUCCGCUCCUUGGUGGGGAAUAACCCUGGGAAACCGGGGCUAAUACCGCAUAAGUCCGAGAGGAGAAAGGCGAAAGUCGCCGAGGAAGGAGCCCGCGGCCGAUUAGCUAGUUGGUAGGGUAAAGGCCUACCAAGGCUGUGAUCGGUAGCCGGCCUGAGAGGGCACACGGCCACACUGGCACUGAGACACGGGCCAGACUCCUACGGGAGGCAGCAGUGGGGAAUCUUGCACAAUGGGGGCAACCCUGAUGCAGCGACGCCGCGUGAGCGAUGAAGCCCUUCGGGUGUAAAGCUCUUUCGACGGGAACGAUAAUGACGGUACCCGGACGAAGAAGCUGCGGCUAACUACGUGCCAGCAGCCGCCGCGGUAAC